AGCGAACGCUGGCGGCGUGCUUAACACAUGCAAGUCGAGCGAAGGUGUUUCAAGGGUAACCUUGAGAUACACUUAGCGGCGGACGGGUGAGUAAUACGUGGAUAACUUACCUCUAGGCCUGGGAUAACCCCGGGAAACGUGGGGCGUAAUACCUGAUAAGACCACAUUGUCUACGGACAAAGGGGUAAAAGGUAGGCUGUGCAAACAGCUAUCGCCAAAAGAUAGGUUCACGUCCCAUCAGGCAGUUGGUGAGGUAAUGGCUCACCAAACCAAAGA
rnacentral:rRNA from 1 species